UACGUAGGGGGCUAGCGUUGUUCGGAUUCAUUGGGCGUAAAGGGUGCGUAGGUGGCGCCAUAAGUCAGGUGUGAAAUCUCGGGCUUAACUCCGAAACUGCAUUUGAUACUGUGGUGCUUGAGGACUGGAGAGGAGACUGGAAUUCACGGUGUAGCAGUGAAAUGCGUAGAGAUCGUGAGGAAGACCAGUGGCGAAGGCGGGUCUCUGGACAGUUCCUGACACUGAGGCACGAAGGCCAGGGGAGCAAACGGG
rnacentral:rRNA from 1 species